UUCAGGAGAAAACCUGCUUAUCUGCACGUGCUAAAACAAGGAAGUCAAAAUACACCACGCGACUCACGCGACCAGCAACAAUUGCGCGCGAGCAACGCGUAAUUCGCAUUCAGUAUUCAGAGGAAAUGAUCAGCGACGGACUGCGCAAAUAAAGACCAAUAACUGAAAUAUGUAAAUCGGGCACGUCUAAAGAACCUUAUUACUAUCAACCAAAAAAACAUUCAUGGCCAAAGAUCGAGGAGAAUAGUCUCGUUUCAGUGACACUUAAUUUGAGUCAAUAAAUCCCAGUUUUAAAUGAAGACUGAAAUGCUUCGGAGUCAGAGUUCAAAUAUAAAAAGUAGCGCCAACUGGGAGCAAAUGUUUAAAAAUGCUUUACUAACAAUACCAUUUCGUUUUCCUUGUAUUGACGAAUGUUUGUAGAAAACACUUUCACACUGUGUUAACCUAUUGUUUUGCUAUAAUUUGCAAAUGAACUAUGUACACCGUUGCUAGUGCCGCGUGCAGCACUCUCUUGAACAUUUGUUUGUAAGUAUCGAGUGAAUGUAAAAUGUUUGGGAUAAUCUGGGAUCAUAACAUGAAAACGUAAGUCGACUUGUUUUUCUUGUAGUUUUGGAAAUUUUCAUCUCUGGUCUGUUAACUCGUAAUGUGGAACGCACUACUGAGUAAUUGUUAACAGUGGCUGAAAGUAAAUGAAAUAAAUAUGGAAUUAUCCAGAGAAAUUUUGGAGAGAACAUCCUGUGGCGUAGACGAAUGUGCGACAUACUGUAGUGGAUUAGUCUGAGUAGCGUGACGCAGGCUAUGUCAUGCAACAAGGAAUAGCUUUGGUAUUGAAUCUUGUGUUUACGAGAACAGCACCUUGAGACUGACGAAUUUUAGUACAGAAGAUUGAUUGAAUUUGGAACUUACGGAGAUCUUACGAGUGUAAAUGACGGAUCGCGAAGAAACGCAAGGAAACAGAAAGAUACACUUCUCUCGAUUGUUAAACGAACGGAAUGCGGAAAUUUUCCAUAAUAUUCCUUCAUUUGUCACGUCCUAUGCAAAAUGCGGAAAUAUAAUGCUAAACCACUCGCUCCUUACUACAUCCGUUGCUGCUGAACUCUGUAAUAUAUGUUCCUUAUUACAAUUCAACCGCAGUGUUAUUUUCAUCACUUCCCGAGGGUCUCGUUUAGUGUAGCAUGUAAAGAGUCCAAACAAUUUUUUGUGACACUACAGCCGCAAGAUUUAUUCGCGUUCUGUCAUGGAAAGCGAUUCAAGACAACCAGGGCCAGGCCAUGGACGAUUUUAUACAAGGUGACCACAAAAAGUAAGGAAGCUGAGAUUAAAGUUUAUUUAUUGCAACAAAA